AACGUAGGAGGCAAGCGUUAUCCGGAGUUACUGGGCGUAAAGCGUGUGUAGGUGGUUGGACAAGUUCGGUGUGAAAGCGCCCGGCUCAACUGGGCGAGGACAUCGAAGACUGUUCGGCUAGAGGAUGGUAGAGGGGCGUAGAAUUCCGGGUGUAGCGGUGAAAUGUGUAGAGAUCCGGAGGAAUACCAGUGGUGCAGACGGCGCCCUGGGCCAUACCUGACACUGAGACACGAAAGCGUGGGGAGCGAACGGG
rnacentral:rRNA from 1 species